GUUAUAUCUGUAGUUGAGGUCGAAUUGUAACUACCCCGCUACGAAUUGCACCGCCAACGCAUUCAAGUAAUUUUCCCUUCUCAUCUCCUUUUCCCUUGCCACUCCCUCCAGACUCACUGUUAUAGGAAAAAUGGCGGUUUCAUCACCUGCCGUAAGCACCAACCCACCGCCGCCGCCAGCGCCACCGCCACCACCACAUCCACCGUCACAACGGUCUCCUGCCCCACUCGCCGCCACCAUCACCACCAAUUCAUCAAAGAACUUUACGGGGCCUCAAGGUUCGAGUACAUUAAGUGCGGCAAUGUAGGUCGAUCCAGAUUUCAAACUCCAUACAACUUUUCCAAACUAGCAUCUUCUUCUAGCUCUCCUUUGUUUGACGCGCUAUCAAUGGAAGGAUCUCGUUGAAGCAAUUUCAGGAUGCUGAAGUUAUAAAUGAAUGAAAGAUCUAAAGUGAAGGAAUACAAGAACAGAAACGUUGAAGCUGAAAAUGAAGGUUUUGAUUGGUAGGUAUAUGCAGAAAGUGCACUAACUGGGGGAGAUGUUUGCUAACUUUGCUUUGAAUUAUACACCAGAAAGGACCUUCCAAUGAUGAAUGCCCCAAUAUUGAACCCUAAACCUACUUCUAUGGACGGUUACAAAAUGAUGAUAUCAAGUUUGGAAUUUAAGUUUCGACACUGUAAACUUUUUGAUGUAAGAAAUGGUUGAUCGGUCAAGGAUGCUUCUGAAAUCAGAGUAAAAUUAUGAUGGUAAUCACCUCAAUGAGCAAGAUGAACUUAUGAGAAGGCCAAAGAAGCCAAAAGCUUGACCAGAAGAGGGGGCUUCGGCGAUGCUCUUAAUGGUAUCUGUGUGCGUAUUUCUUCCCUUGAAGAUAAUAGAAGAUUUGUAGUCUGCUAAAACUUCCAAGUAGAGAGUUUUUUUAGUUUAGGGGGACUCAAAUACGGAUACACCUGCUCGGGGGGCUCUCUACCAACUUGAUCAUUGGGCGAUGCCCAUUUAGUUAAUUUGUAUUGACUGGAUCACAGGUUUCCUAGCCAUGUUGUAGUGUCUGAUAUAUACAUAUAUUUUUUCUUUUUGGUAAA